GGUCGCAUGGCUCAGUUGGUUAGAGCGUACGAUUCACAUUCGUAAGGUCCCAGGUUCGAAUCCUGGUGCGACCA
rnacentral:tRNA from 1 species